rnacentral:rRNA from 1 species
GGACUACCGGGGUUUCUAAUCCUGUUUGCUCCCCACGCUUUCGCGCCUCAGCGUCAGUAACGGGCCAGUGUGUCGCCUUCGCCACUGGUGUUCUUCCGAAUAUCUACGAAUUUCACCUCUACACUCGGAGUUCCACACACCUCUCCCGCACUCAAGGUAUCCAGUAUCAAAGGCAGUUCCAGGGUUGAGCCCUGGGAUUUGACCUCUGACUUAAAUACCCGCCUACGCGCCCUUUACGCCCAGUAAUUCCGAGCAACGCUAGCCCCCUUCGUAUUACCGCGGCUGCUGGCAC